ACGGGAGGCAGCAGUGGGGAAUAUUGCACAAUGGGCGCAAGCCUGAUGCAGCCAUGCCGCGUGUAUGAAGAAGGCCUUCGGGUUGUAAAGUACUUUCAGCGGGGAGGAAGGCGACGGGGUUAAUAACCGUGUCGAUUGACGUUACCCGCAGAAGAAGCACCGGCUAACUCCGUGCCAGCAGCCGCGGUAAUACGGAGGGUGCAAGCGUUAAUCGGAAUUACUGGGCGUAAAGCGCACGCAGGCGGUCUGUUAAGUCAGAUGUGAAAUCCCCGGGCUUAACCUGGGAACUGCAUUUGAAACUGGCAGGCUUGAGUCUUGUAGAGGGGGGUAGAAUUCCAGGUGUAGCGGUGAAA
rnacentral:rRNA from 1 species